GACACGAGGGAGAGGUACGCACGGCUGGGGACCGCAGGGCAGGCGGAGGCACACUGACCCGCGCCAGCCCGAGGGCCGCGACGGGACAGACGUGCACCAGGUGUGGGAGGGCCACUGACGCUUCCAGCCAGACCGUAAAACAGCCCGGGAGCUGCCGUGCUUGAGGCAGCGGAGGACGGACACACAGACAGGCAGACCGGCCAGCGCGGCACAGGUGGCGUCUGGACCGCUCGCUGUUUAACCGAUGGUGCUGGGCCCCCUGGGGAGCCACCGGGAAGAGAUACAAGGCGGAGCUGGGGGCAGGCGGCCCCGGGGGAAGCCGGGCCACGCGGGGGGCCCCACGCCUCUCAGUCCCGUUUCUCACCCACCACUGGCUGCAGGGACAGCACGGCACUCCCGUCUCACACACUCAGAAAGUGAAAACAAAUAAAAUAAAAACGUAUGAAGAGAGGGAAAAACUGAAAUGCAAACAAACAAAUGAACCAAACCACAUCUGAAGUGAGUAACACAACCGCGGAGGCCAGGACGGGGCGCGACGAGCGACCCACGCAGCUCUGAGGCGCAGGGCUCGGGCCGUAUUUCACGGCACGCGCUGAACAAACACCCGACCCGGUGAGCGGCUUGCUCUCCCCUGGAGGCACAGAUUGAGGAAUUCUUUCGGAGCCUAUUCUGGGAUUAAAUCAGCAAGCUCUAGAAUUAGGGCACUUCCAUCACAUAAAAAAAGGGUGACACUUGCAGAAGCUCAGAAGCCAUCUCCAAGAGAGCCGACACCGGGUGAACUUUGAGAAGAUUCGGAGCGGUCCCUUAGGGAGCAGCAGGGAAAGGAUGCUUCUCAUCUGCGCGGGUGUAGACGUUGGAUACGCCGCGUGCUCUGGCGCACGGCUGACGGCGGCCAGCUGACUGCGGCUAAGCGCCGAGACCCUUCCUUCUGGGUGUCCUCCUUCUAGGUCACUCCCCAUCCUAGUCGUGCGGAGGCCCACCUGUGUGCACUGUGCACAGGUCCCUCCCGGCUGAUGGCGCUGCAGGCCCCAGGACCCCUUCAUCUGGGUGUGCGCGGUGCAGGGCGGCAACAG